rnacentral:pre_miRNA from 1 species
UUUGUACUCCCUCCGUCCCAAAAAUUUUGUCUUAAAUUUGUCUAAAUACGGAUGUAUCUAGUUACAUUUUAGUGUUAGAUACAUCCGUAUCUAAACAAAUGUAAGACAAGAAUUUUGGGACGGAGGGAAUACUAC